AAAAAACAGGAACCGGUACAAACCAGUGUUAAUAUAAACCUUGAAUUAUAUUUCUUUUGAUAUAUACUACCUUAGAAAAUAGACAAAAUUUGAUCUAUUUUGGUCAGGACAAACGUGUCUUGGUCAUUCAUAUCUCUUAUAUAAUAUUUAUAAAAACACCUGUCUAUGAGCUAACCAAAUAUUUCAUACAGAAUAACAUUGAUUGCCAACUGUCACCAUGUUAAACAAUAAUAUAUCUAUCUAGAAAAACGGUAUCCAGGAACAAAAAUCAUAAAAUUUUAUUUGAAACACUCUUAUGUAUAUAAUCCAAAAUAACAGAACAAGGCUGGAUUUAUGCACCCUGUCUAUGUUUGGCAACAUUCAUGCACCAGUGUAGAUAUAACUUUAUAUAUACAUGAUAGCUGAGCCAGUAAAUGGUGGUCUGCCAUAUACAUUAUUUCUAUAGGGUAUCAAAUUUGAUGUCAAAUGAAGGAAAUAUAAAAAAACUUUUUUCUCCAUAGAGACAUUCUAAUCACCUACCGGUAUGAGGUAUACUUUAAGACCUAUUCUUAUACCUACAAAGUAUACACAAAAAAAUUCACAUAAAUCCGGGGAGCAGUUUCAGAGGAGUGACUCAAAUGAACAUUUUAAAAUUGGUAAUUGAACAAUGUCAGGUUUUCACUUGGAAUUUGUGGAUGUUGAUGUAUGAGAUUCCCCUUUUUGUGGAAGAAGAAAUUCAGCAUAAAUAUUUGGUUUUUUAUUACCAUUUCCAUACCCUAUCAUAAUAAUGUGAUAAUAUAAAUUGUACAAUGCAACUUUCAGUGUUGCAAUAAAAGUUUGUAUAAUUUCAA